rnacentral:sRNA from 4 species
GUUUGCACUUGUCGGGGAAGGGUGAGAACCUUCGAUUAAGGUUCGACUCGAGCGAAAGCGAGAGAACGUUGCCAACGGCAACGGCCCGAAGGGUGAGGAGCGAAGCGACGAAUAAUCCUUCCCCCACCACUA